rnacentral:lncRNA from 10 species
AACGGUGCCACCAGGCUCUCUGGGAGCAAUCCGCUUGGCUGUCUCCAGCCUCAGGAAGGACUUUUAAACUCGAUGAAAAUAACCUAAGAGGCCACGUUUUGAUGGUAACUGAAGUGAAGAAGAUUGGAAAAAGUUUCAUAUUCAAAAUAGAACAACAUGAUGGAGUAGGGAAAAGAGCACAGCUUUUGGAAUGUGAUGACCCAGUUCUGAUACUUAGUAUAAACAACCUUGAGCAGCUGGACGCCAGAACUCCAGGUUCUCUGGCUUUUGGACUCAGGACUUGCACCUGAGUCCAGAAAGCAGCCUCCCCGGUGUCAGGCUCUCAGACGUUCGUUCUGAGCCCUUCGCACUUGGACUGAUCCACACCACCGGUAUCCCUGGUUCUCUGACUUACAGAUGACCUAUCAUGGGACUUCUCAGCCUCCAUAAUAGAAACAAGUCUUCUGGGCAUCAGAGAAACUCAAAACCACUGUGUGAG